rnacentral:rRNA from 1 species
UACAGAGGGGGCAAGCGUUGUUCGGAAUUACUGGGCGUAAAGGGCGCGUAGGUGGCCUUCUAAGUCGAACGUGAAAUCCCCGGGCUCAACCCGGGAACUGCGUCCGAUACUGGAAGGCUUGAAUCCGGGAGAGGGAUGCGGAAUUCCAGGUGUAGCGGUGAAAUGCGUAGAUAUCUGGAGGAACACCGGGUGGCGAAGGCGGCAUCCUGGACCGG